UACGUAGGGGGCAAGCGUUGUCCGGAAUUAUUGGGCGUAAAGAGCGCGUAGGCGGUCCGAUAAGUCGGCUGUGAAAGUCAGGGGCUCAACCCUUGGAAGCCGGCCGAUACUGUCGGACUAGAGUCCGGAAGAGGCAAGUGGAAUUCCCGGUGUAGCGGUGAAAUGCGCAGAUAUCGGGAGGAACACCAAUGGCGAAGGCAGCUUGCUGGGACGGUACUGACGCUGAGGCGCGAAAGCGUGGGGAGCAAACGGG
rnacentral:rRNA from 1 species